CAGGCGGUCGGUCGCUUCAGUUUUAGCUAGCUGGGACCGGCUCCGUAAGGGUUAACGCGGCGGCGGCGGCAGUUCCUCUCCGGUGCUCCCCGCAGAGCCUGUUAUGGCCUUUGAGCAGACGUCGCUAAUGCCUCCCGCACCAGCCCCCUCUCGGGCUGCCACUGGGGUUUCCUGCUUGUGCGGCAGGCAUUGAACGGGGCGCGAGCGAGCUGCCUGCGAAGCAGCGCCCGGGACCCGGCGGGGGCAGCGAGCCUUCCUCAGCUGCUACCCUAAUCCCGGGUUCCUCAGGUGCGGCGUUUGCACUCAGCCGGGAGCUUGCAGACAACAGGAGAAAAUGAGAACAAACAUUCUCAACUUGAUGAGAACAAUUCCACUUGAUCAUUGCAGAUCAUUGGAGGGUCCUGGGUCUGCCUUCUUGUUUCUCAGUUCUCCUGGCUCAGUUUCUUUCUGUGAGCACUAAUAGCAAACUUGAGGAAGGACGGAAUGAUGUGAGCAUCAAUAUUCAUAGCUGAAUCUUGGCACAACUGUAUU